ensembl:lncRNA
AGGGAAAUUUUAGUCUAUUAGUGUCAUAGUUCAUUAUAAGGAAGGAAGCGAUUUAAAUUCAUUCGUAACGUUUAUUAAGCAAUAAGGUACAAGAGGCUGUACAUAAAGUACUGCCUCGAGUACCUCAUUGCUGAUAACGGUCGGUCAAACCGUUACUCUUAGUGCGCAGUGAUAUGGAACAAGAACUGUACAUCGCUGACUCACGGUCAACCAAUCAGAGCGCUGCAUUUCAUCUACAGUAUUAUAACACGAGAUAAUGCUGACUUAAAGUAUGUUCAUUGACAAAUUGGUUAAAAUUGCAAGGGUUUUGUCAGUUUGUGUUGACUAGUUUGUUGGCAUUAGCUACUAGUUAGCUGGUUAGCGUUACUUUACUCGCUGCCAAAUUAGUCAGCCAGCUGAUGAAAUUGCCACGUCAGCCUAUUUUUAGCAUUAGGCCUACGUAGAAGUUAGCAUGUGGUAACCACGGGAAUAUUUCACUCCUCCAUUCAUGUCUGAAUUAUGGAUAAGUUACAAAUCCAAUGUCAAUACCAUUUAAUGUAGUUUGUCUUUUGAGAAACAUAAAUAACUAACGUUAAUGUUAAUUAACUAUGUUGGUAAUAUGGAACAGCCGUAAUCUACUUCUCUCUGUAUGUAAUAAUUUCCUAUGGUGUUUUGUUUAAAGGCUGAAAGUUUGAACCUUCUUAAUGUCAGUUUGUCAUAUUGUUUCCUCUCUUAGACAACAGAGCAUCCUCCUUAUCUGCAUUGUGUUUGACCAUAACGGCUGGUGACUCUAAAGUGCAAGUUCACACAUCAAUUCAGAUAUUGCUCCUGCCAGUGUUGGUGACUCCUUGGAUAUUUGACAGUGUCCUGCUGUCCAGCAUCUCUCCCCCCUAUCCCUAUCUUUGUAUCCCUCUUCUAUCCCACUCUAUCUGUAUACGGAAGCCUGAAAACCCUGAUAUUCUGAAACCUGAACCCUGAACCCUGAAACCUGAACCUAAGGUUAUUGCAACCUGUCUGAACAGAACUCUGAGAGUAUCUCCACUCUUCCGCUCUCUGUCUCUCCUCUGAACACUCACUCACCCGGGUUAUUGGUACCUGAUCUACCUUUUUGAAUGAUCUGAGAGAUUCUCUUCUCUCACUCUCACCUCUCUCCUAUCAACUCCUAUAUUUAUACAAUACUAUUACUAUUACUGUUACUAAUUUGACAAAACAUUUGAAAUUUACUAUUAAUGAGAUUAACAAAAUUGGCCUGAACAAAGAAUUGAAAAGUUAAUUCAGAAGCUGAAAAAAAGUACAAAUCUUUUGUUAUAAUUGAAAAAACUACACCUUGAUCCAAAGAAUUGGAUUGUAAAAAAAAGUACUGUUUAUAAUUGAAUCAGGUAGAUUUCCUGAUACACUAUUUGCAAAAGUGCAUUGAAUUAACAUAAUUAAAGACAACUGCACUCUGAUACAUAAUAAAAUACAUAACUAUUACAAAUCCAUAUUAGAGAAGUGUAUUUGCUCCUGAUCGCUGUUGCUGUGGACCUCUGUUGGUUUGUACUCAAAGGUUUGUUUUGUGAGCAAACACUGUUGUUAACUUGAUUAGUCUACGUACAAGGAAAAAUAAUCCCGCUACAUGCAUUGAAUCAAUUAUACCUAAUUAAUGAAUACAUAAUUUUUUCUUAUAAACUUACAUUGUGCAUAUCAGUGUUUUGUUGUUUAUACUGAAAUAAAACACAGACGUCAACCAGGAAGAAGUGGAUUCAUCAGGAGUGGCUGUUUCCUGCUGAUCCAACGUUCUUCAGAAGUAUCCAUCUGUCAUCACACUCCCACAACAACUGCUCCUGAAUAUAAACAAUAGCCUAAUAAAGUAUUAAGAUCAUUUCUACCAGUAAAUUUAGCCAUUUGAAAUCUGAAGGGCCCUUUGAGUCAACUGGUUCCAAGUUGUGUGUUUGUGGUAGACUUCAGUUUUUACAUUGAUUAUAUAUUUCCACAGACAAGUCAAGGUCUCAGUAAGCAAUAUCUCUUACAUAUUAAAUACCAUCGGUCACUUUAGUACAUGGUACUUACGCAGACAGACAUACUAAGACCUGAUUGCAGUAUUAAAAUCUAGAAGUGCUUUGUCUAGACCCUCAUAUAUUAGAAUACGUCAGGUGGAUAAUUUCGUUGUGUUUUUUAUUAAAACUAUAAAAUAAUCCUUCAGGUUGCUGUCACUGAAUUUGACGUUCAAAUAU